rnacentral:rRNA from 25 species
GAGUAACACGUGGAUAACCUACCUAUAAGACUGGGAUAACUUCGGGAAACCGGAGCUAAUACCGGAUAAUAUUUUGAACCGCAUGGUUCAAAAGUAAAAGACGGUCUUGCUGUCACUUAUAGAUGGAUCCGCGCUGCAUUAGCUAGUUGGUAAGGUAACGGCUUACCAAGGCAACGAUGCAUAGCCGACCUGAGAGGGUGAUCGGCCACACUGGAACUGAGACACGGUCCAGACUCCUACGGGAGGCAGCAGUAGGGAAUCUUCCGCAAUGGGCGAAAGCCUGACGGAGCAACGCCGCGUGAGUGAUGAAGGUCUUCGGAUCGUAAAACUCUGUUAUUAGGGAAGAACAUAUGUGUAAGUAACUGUGCACAUCUUGACGGUACCUAAUCAGAAAGCCACGGCUAACUACGUGCCAGCAGCCGCGGUAAUACGUAGGUGGCAAGCGUUAUCCGGAAUUAUUGGGCGUAAAGCGCGCGUAGGCGGUUUUUUAAGUCUGAUGUGAAAGCCCACGGCUCAACCGUGGAGGGUCAUUGGAAACUGGAAAACUUGAGUGCAGAAGAGGAAAGUGGAAUUCCAUGUGUAGCGGUGAAAUGCGCAGAGAUAUGGAGGAACACCAGUGGCGAAGGCGACUUUCUGGUCUGUAACUGACGCUGAUGUGCGAAAGCGUGGGGAUCAAACAGGAUUAGAUACCCUGGUAGUCCACGCCGUAAACGAUGAGUGCUAAGUGUUAGGGGGUUUCCGCCCCUUAGUGCUGCAGCUAACGCAUUAAGCACUCCGCCUGGGGAGUACGACCGCAAGGUUGAAACUCAAAGGAAUUGACGGGGACCCGCACAAGCGGUGGAGCAUGUGGUUUAAUUCGAAGCAACGCGAAGAACCUUACCAAAUCUUGACAUCCUUUGACAACUCUAGAGAUAGAGCCUUCCCCUUCGGGGGACAAAGUGACAGGUGGUGCAUGGUUGUCGUCAGCUCGUGUCGUGAGAUGUUGGGUUAAGUCCCGCAACGAGCGCAACCCUUAAGCUUAGUUGCCAUCAUUAAGUUGGGCACUCUAAGUUGACUGCCGGUGACAAACCGGAGGAAGGUGGGGAUGACGUCAAAUCAUCAUGCCCCUUAUGAUUUGGGCUACACACGUGCUACAAUGGACAAUACAAAGGGCAGCGAAACCGCGAGGUCAAGCAAAUCCCAUAAAGUUGUUCUCAGUUCGGAUUGUAGUCUGCAACUCGACUACAUGAAGCUGGAAUCGCUAGUAAUCGUAGAUCAGCAUGCUACGGUGAAUACGUUCCCGGGUCUUGUACACACCGCCCGUCACACCACGAGAGUUUGUAACACCCGAAGCCGGUGGAGUAACCUUUUAGGAGCUAGCCGUCGAAGGUGGGACAAAUGAUUGGGGUGAAGUCGUAACAAGGUAGCCGUAUCGGAAGGUGCGGCUGGAUCACCU